rnacentral:rRNA from 1 species
GACGGAGGAUGCAAGUGUUAUCCGGAAUCACUGGGCGUAAAGCGUCUGUAGGUGGUUCGAAAAGUCCACUGUUAAAAAUUGAGGCUUAACCUCAAAGAUGCCGUGGAAACUUUCAAACUAGAGUAUGGUAGGGGUAGAGGGAAUUUCCAGUGGAGCGGUGAAAUGCGUAGAUAUCGGAAGGAACACCAGUGGCGAAAGCGGCUUCCUGGUCCGACACCGACGUCAGGCACGAAAGCGUGGGGAGCAAACGGG